GAUUAUGGCUCAGAACGAACGCUGGCGGCAGGCCUAAGUCAUGCAAGUUGAACGGCUGUAGCAAUACAGCAGUAGCGGACGGGUGAGUAAUGUAUGGGAACGUAUCUUCUAGUGGGGAAUAUCUUUGGAAACGAAGAGCAAUACCGCAUGAGUCCUACGGGAGAAAGUCGCAAGACGCUAGAUGAGCGGCCCAUAUUGGAUUAGCUAGUUGGUUAGGUAAUGGCUGACCAAGGCAACGAUCCAUAGCUGGUCUAAGAGGACGAUCAGCCACAUUGGGACUGAGACACGGCCCAGACUCCUACGGGAGGCAGCAGUCAGGAAUAUUGGACAAUGGGGGCAACCCUGAUCCAGCCCAUGCCGCGUGAGUGUUAAGGUCUUCGGAUUGUAAAGCUCUUUUGUGUGGGAAAAUGAUGAUGGUACCACAAGAAUAAGCACCGGCUAACUUCGUGCCAGCAGCCGC
rnacentral:rRNA from 1 species